rnacentral:rRNA from 1 species
UACGAAGGGUGCAAGCGUUGCUCGGAAUUAUUGGGCGUAAAGGGCGCGUAGGCGGUCCGACAAGUCAGGGGUGAAAUCCUGCAGCUUAACUGUAGAAGUGCCUCUGAUACUGUCGGUCUUGAGGGAAAUAGGGGUGUGCGGAACUUCCAGUGGAGCGGUGAAAUGCGUUGAUAUUGGAAGGAACGCCGGAGGCGAAAGCGGCGCACUGGAUUUCUUCUGACGCUGAGGCGCGAAAGCCAGGGGAGCAAACGGG